UUUUGGUUUUGUUUGCCAACACUUAUAUAUCAUUUAAUUUCCUUGUAAACUGUUGACGUGGGACUCAUUCCCCAAGUGAUAUUCCAAGGAAAUCAAAUACACGAUUAAGUAUCAAGGGUGCCAUUAACAAGGGGGUAACCACUUGUGGCACCUGUACUUUAUCAAAAUACAAAAAAGAAGUCAUGUUCUUGUACAUUCCAAAACAUCAGAAAAUUACAAUUUCGAUGAAAGUUUUCCCAUCUUAUGCCGCCCAGGAUUACAUGCUCUACAUAAAAAAGGAAUCUUACCAUGUGAGAAGAUAUAUUGGAAGUUGAGAUCCAGACAGAUUAUGUUCUUAAAAUUGGAUAGUACACAAUAUCAGAUACAUGAUGCCAAACUGCUCAGCCAUUUUUUGAUUCAAAAGACAUGAAUGAUUCAACUACUUCAGACAACUAAUCAACAUUCUCAGAGUAAACCAACAAAAUGACACUGCACGCAUUUUCAUAUAGAGGAUAAAAAAUUGGCUCCAUUUCAUAUAGUCAAG
rnacentral:misc_RNA from 1 species